CCCUUAGAUGUCCUGGGCCGCACGCGCGUUACACUGAUGCAUUCAACGAGCUUAUAACCUUGGCCGAGAGGCCUGGGCAAUCUUGUUAACGUGCAUCGUGAUAGGGAUAGAUUAUUGAAAUUAUUAAUCUUGAACGAGGAAUUCCUAGUAAACGCAGAUCAUCAAUCUGCAUUGAUUACGUCCCUGCCCUUUGUACACACCGCCCGUCGCACCUACCGAUUGGAUGGUCCGGUGAAGCCUCGGGAUUGUGGUUCUUGCCGCUUUAUUGUGGCGUGACCGCGAGAACUUGUCUAAACCUGAUCAUCUAGAGGAAGGUGAAGUCGUAACA
rnacentral:rRNA from 1 species